rnacentral:rRNA from 1 species
AUACCGGCGGCUCGAGUGGUGGCCGCUAUUACUGGGCUUAAAGGGUCCGUAGCUUGAUAUACAAGUCCCUUGAGAAAUCCGCCAGCUUAACUGGCGGGCGUUCAGGGGAAACUGUAUUUCUAGGGACCGGGAGAGGUGAGAGGUACUGCCGGGGUAGGAGUGAAAUCCUGUAAUCCCGGUGGGACCACCUAUGGCGAAGGCAUCUCACCAGAACGGGUCCGACAGUGAGGGACGAAAGCUGGGGGAGCAAACCGGAUUAGAUACCCGGGUAGUCCCAGCUGUAAACGAUGCGCGUUAGGUGUGUCAGUGACCACGUGUCACUGAGGUGCCGAAGGGAAACCGUGAAACGCGCCGCCUGGGGAGUACGGUCGCAAGGCUGAA